GCCAGGCAUGGUGGCGUGUGCCUGUAAUCCCAGCUACUCAGGAGGCUGAGGCGGGAGAAUUGCUUGAACCCAGGAAGUGGAGGUUGCAGUGAGCUGAGAUCACGCCACUGCACUCCAGCCUGGGUGACAGAGCGAGCCUCUGUCUCAA
rnacentral:sRNA from 1 species